UAAACGUAUAUGGGUCCUCUUUUUCUACAGAAACACUGUAAAAGAAGAUGACUCAAUGUUGUUCAGAUGACCAUGAGAUCAUUGACCAUACACUCCGUAAUCUUUUGCUUUUGGAAUGUGCUUUAGACUAUAUUUAUAUGCUCCUAUUGCUAAUAAUAUCAAAACUCCAAGACUGCAUUAUAGCUCCUUUGAUGACCAUCAGCAGGGAAAUUUUACUAUGUUUGUGAAUAGAAUUGUGAUACCCGGUCGAUAUGUGUCCUGUACCAACAGGAACACACAAUGACCUUUAUGGUAUUAUGUCAAAUUUGAUGAACUUUUAUUUCAUUUCAUGUAGUAAUCAUUUUUUAUCUGUAAUAUGUUACAGAAUAAAACAUUUUAAAACUUACAAA